GUGGGGUCAAGCACGCAGAUCCAAUUUUCUGCCACCGAAUACAUUAGCAUGGGAUAAUGGAAUAGGACCCUGUCCUCCUAUUUUCAGUUGGUUUUGGCAGCGCGAGGACUAGGGUAAUGAUUAAUAGGGAUAGUUGGGGGCAUUAAUAUUUAAUUGUCAGAGGUGAAAUUCUUGGAUUUAUGAAAGAUUAACUUCUGCGAAAGCAUCUGCCAAGGAUGUUUUCAUUAAUCAAGAACGAAAGUUAGGGGAUCGAAGACGAUCAGAUACCGUCGUAGUCUUAACCAUAAACGAUGCCGACCAGCGAUUAGGAGACGUUGAAUACAAAACACCACCAUCGGCGCGGUCGUCCCUGGCUCGUCGUCUCACGACGGCGGGCGGGGGCGGCUUAGCCCGAUGGCACCGGUGAAUGACUCCCUAGCAGCCUUGUGAGAAA
rnacentral:rRNA from 1 species